rnacentral:lncRNA from 1 species
GGGAAUAUUCGUUUGGUCGUGGAAUAUUCGUACUGUCGGGAAAUAUUCGUACGACGGCGCAACCAUGUGUGGGCCCCAUAACGGAAAGCGAUUGGAGGAAGAAAACGACAAAAAUAAGUUGUUUAAAAAUAACGGCGUAGUUGUUACCAUUUACACUGUUGGAAUACCCGGUGGUUAAAACACAGUAAUACGCGUUGUUGCACAGUAGCACACGGUAUUGCACCAAUUAUUGACUCUUACGUAAGAAGGCACUACUCAAUAAUGGUUACAGUAAUUACUGUUCAGUAUUUUAUUUUAUUGAUUCAAUAAUUGCUGCGUUGAUAUUUUAUAUUGCUGUUGUUUCAAUAAAUUGUUAUUACACAGUAUUUUUCAUUAUCGAAGCAAUAAUUCAUAUUAUCUGAAUAAUAUUAUUAGAUAACAUUAUUGGCAAUGUCUAGAAAGUUCUGUCUAAGGAGAGGUUUGGUCACCUAAUUGCGCGCCAGUAAGGAGAAAUUCUUAUUGGAAAGCCCCCUCUUUCCUGGGAACUGCCUGGUUGUCAAUAUUGUGAUUCUGUAAUAUUAUUUGUGAAUAAUUAAUUAUUGAUUCAUAUGAUGAGGAAAAUAUUGAUUUUAUGUGGAUAUAGAUGGAGAAAAUUUUUA